GCGAGAUCGUGACCUGGCUGAAGUCGGACGCUUAACCGACUGCGCCACCCAGGCGCCCCGGCCACUGAGAACUGAAAAGACCAUCUUUAUCCUGCAGGCCAUGACAGAAGAGGUGGCAGGCUGGAUUUGGCCUACAAGUCAUACUCUGCUGACCUUUGUUCCAUGAAUAGGAUGAAAAAAAAAAUAGAACUAAUGAAAUUGUUUUUCUGUGUGAAACCUGGCACUAACUGCUUGUGAAGUCCUCCCAUAGCUUUUAAAUGAGCCAACGUUUAAUGGCUGUUGUCAAGUUUUACAUGUCCGGGAGAAAAUUUAGGGGAAAAUGGACACAAUUAAUUAGAAUAUGUGUUUGAUCUAAAUGAAAAGUCAUGCCUCAGAAAGAAACAUACAUGCUGUCAUUGUGUAAAUGGAAAUUCUUCUGUAGCUGCACUCCUGAUUGGCACUCUUUUCUUAAAUAAAAAAAACAAAUAGCUUUUAAA